rnacentral:rRNA from 1 species
UCCAUUAAUAGUAAUAUAAUUAUUAAUAAUAGUUUAAAAUACCUAAAGGUAUUUUAAACUAUAUAUAUAUAUAUAUAUUUAAUAUUAAUUAUUAAGUUUACUACAAAAAAAAAAAAAAUGGUUGUUUAACGCAAGCUUCGAUUUUGGUAUAGGGUGAUUGGACAUGCAGGUUUUUACUCAAUGUAGUCUAAAAAUUUAUUUUAGUCAGCCUAAAAAAGAGGUUAAAUUUGUGCCAGCAUCUGCGGUUAUACUUGUUCUUUUUAAAAUCUUGUAGGCAGGCUAUCUUUUGUUAGAACGAGUAAAAUUUUUGGUGAAAUAAGAAUUAGUUAUGUGUCACUAUAAAAAGGUCAGGCUUUUUGGAACCGGGAUUAGAGACCCCGCUACUUGUUAUAAUGUCUAAGGAUUAGAUAUAAAAAUCAUAUGGUUUGGCGGCCAAACUGAUUUAGAGGAGUUUGCUUGUAAUCGACGGGUCUCGUUAGCUCUUGCCGGCCUAAUUUAUGUACACCGUCAUUUAGUUAAUUUUGUAAGAAAAAUUAAGAAAAUUAGUCGAGUAAGCUAGAUCAAGGUGCAGAGUGGGUGGGAUUAAGUUAACUACAAUAUAAAAUUAUACAUGGGCACGGGCAUGUGUUCGUUAAUAAGUGGAUUUAAGGGUAAUUAUUUAUGUUUGAUCUUAUAGGGUUGGUGUACAAAUUGCCCGUCAAUCUCUAAGAGAUAAGUCGAAACAAAGUAGAAAAACCUGAAGGUUUUUCU